rnacentral:rRNA from 1 species
UACGGAGGAUCCAAGCGUUAUCCGGAUUCAUUGGGUUUAAAGGGUGCGUAGGCGGAAUGAUAAGUCAGUGGUGAAAGCCUGCAGCUUAACUGCAGAACUGCCAUUGAUACUGUCAAUCUUGAGUAUAUUUGAUGUGGGCGGAAUGUGUCAUGUAGCGGUGAAAUGCUUAGAUAUGACACAGAACACCGAUUGCGAAGGCAGCUCACAAAACUAUAACUGACGCUGAGGCACGAAAGCGUGGGUAUCAAACAGG